rnacentral:rRNA from 1 species
AUUGAACGCUGGCGGCAGGCCUAACGCAUGCAAGUCGAGCGGAUGACGGGAGCUUGCUCCUUGAUUCAGCGGCGGACGGGUGAGUAAUGCCUAGGAAUCUGCCUGGUAGUGGGGGACAACGUUUCGAAAGGAACGCUAAUACCGCAUACGUCCUACGGGAGAAAGCAGGGGACCUUCGGGCCUUGCGCUAUCAGAUGAGCCUAGGUCGGAUUAGCUUGUUGGUGAGGUAAUGGCUCACCAAGGCGACGAUCCGUAACUGGUCUGAGAGGAUGAUCAGUCACACUGGAACUGAGACACGGGCCAGACUCCUACGGGAGGCAGCAGUGGGGAAUAUUGGACAAUGGGCGAAAGCCUGAUCCAGCCAUGCCGCGUGUGUGAAGAAGGUCUUCGGAUUGUAAAGCACUUUAAGUUGGGAGGAAGGGUUGUAGAUUAAUACUCUGCAAUUUUGACGUUACCGACAGAAUAAGCACCGGCUAACUCUGUGCCAGCCGCCGCGGUAAAAC